rnacentral:rRNA from 1 species
UACCCAGACUCCUACGGGAGGCAGCAGUGGGGAAUAUUGCACAAUGGGGGAAACCCUGAUGCAGCGACGCCGCGUGGAGGAAGAAGGUCUUCGGAUUGUAAACUCCUGUCCUUGGGGACGAUAAUGACGGUACCCAAGGAGGAAGCACCGGCUAACUACGUGCCAGCAGCCGCGGUAAUACGUAGGGAGCGAGCGUUGUCCGGAAUUACUGGGUGUAAAGGGAGCGUAGGCGGGGAUGCAAGUUGGGUGUCAAAACUACCGGCUCAACUGGUAGUCGCACUCAAAACUGCAGCUCUUGAGUGAAGUAGAGGCAGGCGGAAUUCCUAGUGUAGCGGUGAAAUGCGUAGAUAUUAGGAGGAACACCAGUGGCGAAGGCGGCCUGCUGGGCUUUUACUGACGCUGAGGCUCGAAAGUGUGGGGAGCAAACAGGAUUAGAUACCCUAGUAA